rnacentral:rRNA from 1 species
CAUCCUGUUAAGUCAGGCAACGAGCGAGACCCACGCCAACAGUUGCCAGCUCGUCCUCCCGGGGAUGGUGGGGACACUGUUGGGACCGCCUCUGCUAAAGAGGAGGAAGGAAUGGGCAACGGUAGGUCAGCAUGCCCCGAAUUAUCUGGGCUACACGCGGGCUACAAUGGGUGGGACAAUGGGUAUCGACACCGAAAGGUGAAGGCAAUCUCCUAAACCCAUCCGUAGUUCGGAUUGUGGGCUGCAACUCGCCCACAUGAAGCUGGAAUCUGUAGUAAUCGUGUCUCAAAAUGGCACGGUGAAUAUGUCCCUGCUCCUU